UGUUUUAAAGGAAUCAGUGAAGGGCAUUCUCCACUCGAGCUUUGUGAAAUACUGUGCAGAUGCUCAUGGCUGUGGAUGCUGUGUGGUGUGAAGAACACUGCAGUUCAUUGAAUAUGGUGUGAGGAAUGCUGCUGUGCACUGACUGUGUGGUGUGAGGAAUGCUGCUGUGCACUGAUUGUGUGCUGUGAGGAAUGCUGCUGUGCACUGACUGUGUGCUGUGAGGAAUGCUGCUGUGCAUUGAUGCUGCCUUUUUUCUUUUCUCCCUACACCUGCAUCCUUCUGGUGGCUCAGGUUGGACAACUAGGUGCCCAUGACCAAGUCCUCAUUGUGCAUGGAUUUAGUCUGGUUGGACUUUCUCAGGAAAGGCAGCUGAACUCAUGACUAGUACCAGUUCCAUGGUUACCCUGGAAGUUGAAAAUCAAGGCAUCCUCUCUCACUGCCUGUCCACCUUUCUUACCCAGCCAUUGUCCCCCAUGGUGCAGAGAGAUCAGCCUCCUAUUCCUGGAGAGAAGUGUGCAUAUACCACUACAACAGCAGCUAACAUCUGUCUCCACUGGAGACCUCUGCACUGAGGUCUGAGAUGAGCUGGAACACUUUCUUACUGGUGAAAUAUCUGACUUCUUUGAUACAGUUCUCAACAAAUUACAUUAACUAUCAUUCCUGAA
rnacentral:sRNA from 1 species